UGUACACUGUAAAAAAUGCAACUACAUUUUGUUCACCUGACCUGGUAAUUUGAGUUACUGAAACAAGGAAAUCUAAGUUACUAGGCAUUUACAAACAAAACCAUGUCAGACCAACACAUUCCAGCUUGGUAUUGUGCAAAAUGGGUUAUUUACAUUGCCUGAACAGGCAAUUUUAUGUUACAUGAUGCUGCUUAGUUAAUUGAGAGUUUGCACAUGCGCACUAAGGCACAAGAAAGAACGCGGGGUUUUCAAGUGCGGCACUGCAGGGGCUCUCAAGCGCAGCACAUCAGGGGCUGUGAACACUCCUCUCUCAGGCAGCUGCUUCAAGUACCAGUCAUUGGGGAAAGAAGUUAGGUUCCAAUUAAGCACUAAUUUGGCCAGUUUAACGGGGUUAGGAAGAUUUUAGUGAAUAUGCACGCUGCCUGAAAAAGACUCAAUGGAGUAGAUCUGUGAGGAGUUUUUUUGAGUUACCAACAAAGACCUGCUAGAAACUUUCAGAGCUGCCAUGGAAAAGAACACCACCAAACUACUGAGACUCUACCGUGCCCGGAAGGGAGCUUUUGGGCAUGAUAUGGAAGACCUAUUGAAAAACUUGAUGAAAAGACAUCUGAUAUUGUCGCCUAUCGAAAGAGUGCUGUGCUGGAAGGAUUGCCUUCGUUUUUGAGAGAAGAUCCUGUAAAGUUGUUUUAGAAAUGUUUGGAUACAGAUCCAGAAGAUGAACAGACCAAAGGGGUAUCUGUUGGAGUACUUGUGGUUUUAGAGGACAAUGUCUCUGCUGCAGGCUCAUCAGCAAAUGAACAUUGCCAUUGUGCUGGAGGAGACCAUAGUUCUGGAUGGACUCUGCGACACCCCUACAGGCUUGGCAUACCUCUUUGGCCUUUUCUGUGCUCUAAACCUUUCUUAUCCAAAAUUCUGAACUCCAAAUUCAGAUCCACUUUAAUGUAUAAAUGCAGUGCUUGACAUGUUGGUAUACUGUGUGAUUUGUUGUGUUUAAAUACAUGCAGGUGUUGUUGCUAGUGUUGCAGGGUUCCGAUUGGAAGCAUUUUAUCAAACGUGGCAUCAGAGGUGACUUGUGUUGGAUUUG